rnacentral:rRNA from 1 species
GCGUAAGCGCACGCAGGCGGUCUGUCAAGUCGGAUGUGAAAUCCCCGGGCUCAACCUGGGAACUGCAUUCGAAACUGGCAGGCUAGAGUCUUGUAGAGGGGGGUAGAAUUCCAGGUGUAGCGGUGAAAUGCGUAGAGAUCUGGAGGAAUACCGGUGGCGAAGGCGGCCCCCUGGACAAAGACUGACGCUCAGGUGCGAAAGCGUGGGGAGCAAACAGGAUUAGAUACCCUGGUAGUCCA